ensembl:snRNA U6 U6 spliceosomal RNA
AUACUCACUUUGGCAGCACAUAAACUAAAAUUGGAAUUAUAAAGAGAAGAUUAUCAUGGCCCCAGGGCAAGGAUGACAUGCAAGUUUGUGAAGCAUUAUAUAUAUAU